rnacentral:rRNA from 1 species
GAUGAACGCUAGCGGCAGGCCUAAUACAUGCAAGUCGAACGGUGUCUUCGGACAUAGUGGCGCACGGGUGCGUAACACGUAUGCAACCUACCUUACAUUGGGGGAUAGCCUUUCGAAAGGGAGAUUAAUACCGCAUAAGACAGUAGCUGGGCAUCCAGCAGCUGUUAAAGAUUUAUCGAUGUAAGCUGGGCAUGCGUCCAAUUAGCUAGUUGGUGAGGUAACGGCUCACCAAGGCAAUGAUUGGUAGGGGAACUGAGAGGUCAAUCCCCCACACUGGCACUGAGAUACGGGCCAGACUCCUCCGGGAGGCAGCAGUAGGGAAUAUUGGGCAAUGGACGCAAGUCUGACCCAGCCAUGCCGCGUGCAGGAUGAAGGCGCUAUGCGUUGUAAACUGCUUUUAUACAGGAAGAAACGACUCUUGCGAGAGGCAUUGACGGUACUGUAUGAAUAAGCACCGGCUAACUCCGUGCCAGCCGCCGCAGUAAGAC